GACGCCGCCGCCCCACCCCGCCAUCCCCUAGCGGCGCCGCUGCCCCACCCCGCGACUCUGGUGGAUCUCCAGGGAGGAGUUGAGCUGGAGCGUCUCGGUGGACGAGGAGCAUGACGAUGCAGCCACCGGCCUCCUACCACAGCAAGCGACCGCCGCGGCCAUCCUCCACCUGCCGCUGUAGCCUUCCUCCCCGACCGCCUCCACGACACGCUGGCCUUCGUCUACCUCUGCUCCGCUGCUGCCCAAGGCUGUGUGCGCGAUGGCGGCCCAUGUCGUUUAUCGUCCUGGUUGCGUACGCGUUGACGAGUGAUGCCCCGAUCCAGCUCCUCCAUCCUACAGCCACGGCAAGUCCAAAAGAAAGACAUUCAGUCUAGCAAGCCAAAUGGUUGACCACCAACCCACGCGUGGAUUGGCCCUGACCUGCAGCUGGAGGAGGCCGCGACCUUCAGCUGUAGGAGACGUCGACCUGCAGCUGGAGGAGGCCCCGACCUUCAGCUGUUAAUUUUGAGGAACUAGCUACUCUGAUAAUCUAACUUGACACCGUAUUUGUUUUUGUUCUUCAUAAGUUCAGGCAACUAGGUUGCUAACUAGGAAAACCUUCUCUGGUUGUGCUAACUAGUACGUACUACUAAACUAUAAUAAUCUUGUGAAGUGGAUAAUGCUCGUGCCCCUGGACGCUGGCCAUGUGAGAUUUUGAUGGCUUCGUACUUUUGUUAUUUGAUUUUUGAAUAACAGAAGUUCUCUUCUUUGUCUGUAGAAAACCCCA